UAAUUGAGAAAAUUAGAUUAAUUGAGGGGUUAAUUGAGAAAGGACCGAAUUGUAUAAACUGUGAAAUUUGGGGCAAAAUGGAAAUCAACAUUUUGCACUAAAGCAGUUUUGGACAGCAGCAGUAGUGUAACUUUGAAAAAUCACCAAAAAUUGUAGAGAUUGAAUUAGAGGAUGAAUAAAAUAUGAAACUAAAGCUGAUUGAGUCUAGUUUCUUAUAAAAGAAAUGAUGUGAGCAAUGGAAUUGUAAAUCAUGAGAUAUAAUAGAUUUUGUGAGAUAAGGUCAGAAUGAAUUCGGGUUCCCCUGUUCUGACUUUGGAAAAUCAUUAAAAAUUGUAAAAAAAUGAUUAUGAGUUAUAGUUUAUAUGGUUAGAAUCCUUAAUGAGUCUAUUUUUAGAAGAAACAAGCUAAAACAUCAUCCGAAUUCUGUACAAUGAGAUAAUUAAUUUUUAGUGAAGAGUGGUCGGAACUGUCAGACAGCGAAACAGGGGAAACUUUAAAGAAUAAACUGUACUAUUUGGCUGAACCAAAAAUUAUGAAAAUUUUAUGGUAUGAAGAUAUGUGAGUCUAGUUUCAUGGAAAAUUAACGGAUCUUAAUUUGGAGCUCUUUAGCUCCGGAUAAAAAUAAUUUAGUGACUCUGACUCGGAUAAACAGCUUUGAAUAUACAUGUUAGUGAAUAUUGAAAUUAUGGU
rnacentral:lncRNA from 1 species